rnacentral:rRNA from 1 species
AAACUAGAAGAUGGCGACCGGCGCACGGGUGAGUAACACGUAUCCAACCUGCCGAUAACUCCGGAAUAGCCUUUCGAAAGAAAGAUUAAUACCGGAUAGCAUACGAAUAUCGCAUGAUAUUUUUUAUUUAAAGAAUUUCGGUUAUCGAUGGGGAUGCGUUCCAUUAGUUUGUUGGCGGGGUAACGGGCCCACCAAGACUACGAUGGAUGGGGGGUUCUGAGAGGAAGGGUCCCCCACAUUGGAACUGAGACACGGUCCAAACUCCUACGGGAGGCAGCAUG